rnacentral:rRNA from 1 species
GACGAACGCUGGCGGCGUGCCUAAUACAUGCAAGUAGAACGCUGAAGGAAGGAGCUUGCUCUUUCUGGAUGAGUUGCGAACGGGUGAGUAACGCGAGGUAAACCUCCUUGGAAGGGGGGGAAAACAAUGGAAAAGGAAAGCAAAAACGGAAUAAAAUGAUUAUUGGAAGAAUGGCAAAUAAAAGGUGGAAACUGAACAACAACCGAGGGACCUGCGUUGUAUUGGCUAGUUGGGGGGGUUACGGCUCACCAAGGGGGCGAUACAUAGCCGACCUGGGGGGGUGAUCGGCCACACUGGGACUGAGACACGGCCCAGACUCCUACGGGAGGCAGCAGUAGGGAAUCUUCGGCAAUAGACGGAAGUCUGACCGAGCAACGCCGCGUGAGUGAAGAAGGUUUUCGGAUCGUAAAGCUCUGUUGUAAGAGAAGAACGAGUGUGAGAGUGGAAAGUUCACACUGUGACGGUAUCUUACCAGAAAGGGACGGCUAACUACGUG